GCCCUCGGUGGCUCAUAUGGGAAAGAGCAUCUGCCAUGCAAGCAGGAGGUCCCGGGUUCGAGUCCCGGUCGGGGCG